GUGGCCCAUCAUAUAAAGGAAGUGAUGAAGUAGGAGUGUGGUAAGUCGGCCUACUAGGUAGAUACUGGUGACCAUCAGGGAGAUUCUCAUCAAUGAAGAUCUUGUUUUAAAAGGUUCGGAGGGCUGAGAAGUCUUCUUUUUCUUCCACUUUUAGUAGACUUUUUUAGUAGUAUAGUCCUAAUAUUUAUGUACUCCUAGAGACCCAACUGGCUUGCAACAUCCUUGCUCGUACUUGGCAUUAUUUUUCAGUGUC
rnacentral:lncRNA from 1 species